GCCAGUGUAGCAUAGUUGUUUGAGUGUUGGACUGUCACUCUGGACACCAGGGUUCAAUUCCCUGCUUGGCCA